rnacentral:rRNA from 1 species
UACGGAAGGCAGCAGUGGGGAAUAUUGCACAAUGGGCGAAAGCCUGAUGCAGCUAUGCCGCGUGUAUGAAGAAGGCCUUAGGGUUGUAAAGUACUUUCAUCGGGGAGGAAAAAACAAAACUAAUAAUUUUAUUUCUUGACGUUACCCGAAAAAGAAGCACCGGCUAACUCCGUGCCAGCAGCCGCGGUAAUACGGAGGGUGCUAGCGUUAAUCAGAAUUACUGGGCGUAAAGAGCACGUAGGUGGUUUUUUUAAGUUCAGAUGUGAAUCCCCUGGGCUUAACCUAGGAACUGCAUUUUGAAACUGAAAUACUAGAGUAUCGUAGAGGGAGGUAGAAUUCUAGGUGUAGCGGUGAAAUGCGUAGAUAUCUGGAGGAAUACCUGUGGCGAAAGCGGCCUCCUAAACGAAUACUGACACUGAGGUGCGAAAGCGUGGGGAGCAAACAGGGAUUAGAUACC